GAGACACCCUUAUGGGACAGGAUGUGCUUCAGUGGGGCUUUGGUGCUCACUGAGUCUGCCCCCUGAGUGUGUCACU
rfam:Myotis davidii contig167131, whole genome shotgun sequence.